GACGAACGCUGGCGGCGUGCUUAACACAUGCAAGUCGAACGGAAAGGCCCUGCUUUUGUGGGGUGCUCGAGUGGCGAACGGGUGAGUAACACGUGAGUAACCUGCCCUUGACUUUGGGAUAACUUCAGGAAACUGGGGCUAAUACCGGAUAGGAGCUCCUGCUGCAUGGUGGGGGUUGGAAAGUUUCGGCGGUUGGGGAUGGACUCGCGGCUUAUCAGCUUGUUGGUGGGGUAGUGGCUUACCAAGGCUUUGACGGGUAGCCGGCCUGAGAGGGUGACCGGCCACAUUGGGACUGAGAUACGGCCCAGACUCCUACGGGAGGCAGCAGUGGGGAAUAUUGCGCAAUGGGCGGAAGCCUGAUGCAGCAACGCCGCGUGCGGGAUGACGGCCUUCGGGUUGUAAACCGCUUUCGCCUGUGACGAGGCGUGAGUGACGGUAAUGGGUAAAGAAGCACCGGCUAACUACGUG
rnacentral:rRNA from 1 species